UCUUCACCGCAGGGGCACCACCCUGCUGUUCUACAAGGAACCAACCUAUCCUUUAGAAUAGGGAGAAGCCAGCUCGCGUGGCUAAUAUCCUCUGGCCUGUAAGGUGGCAGCAAAAACGAGCCACAGAGAACGCGGAGCCCACCUGGGUGUGUGGGUGCUCCACCCAGAGCCUUUGUCCGCUCUGCUGGUCACGCAGCAAAGUAAUUCCCUGUUGUUCCCAGGAGAUCACAUCCCUUGUAAAGGGGGCCUGCUUGUCAUCUGCUGCAGCAGUGGAACUUUCAGAAGCCCUUUGUAUGUGUAAAAAAAAAAAAAAAAAAAAAUGCUAUUCUGGCCUGAUCUGCAAGAGGCCCUUUCCCACUUCUCCUUCAGCUGUCCUCGGUCAAUCUCUUUCCUAGGGGUCAUGGCUUGAGAUUCGCCUGACAAAUCACUCCUCUGUGACGUCCUGGAGAAGAGCAAGGUGCGCGCAUGUUUGGCCGCCCCCCCGCCCCCCCCCGCCCCGCGACUGAUGCCCGAACAAUGGGUGUCCACCUACCGGAAGGUAACAUUUUCUGUUUUUGCUGGAGGACCCUAAAGCCAGAUGGAGAAGGUGACAGAUCUCGAGGUGCCAGCCUGCCACUCGGUACAACCUAUAAUUCUGUCCCUUGAGCUUGGCGCACUGAGCUGGGGGUGUCGGGGCGCUCCCGCUCACGCAGACUGUAGACACACGGAUAACUAGGAUAACCACCCUUCCUAGGAGGACUCAGCCCCCUCUCUACCUGGCGCUGGGGUCCCGUACUUUGAAAACACCCAACUUCGCGGCGAAAAGGAACGCGCGGCUUACCAUUUCCGCUAGAUGGCGCGAUUUCCCCUACUCCGCCCUCGAGACACCCGAAUUGUAAAAUAAAUACAACCCAACGCCUUCCGAAACCACAUACAUAAUAGCAACUCGCAGGCUCCCAUUAAAAAUCUCAAUUUGGGGGAAUUGAUUCUGCCCCGGAGCAAAUCUAAUGCAAUUACAUUAACAGGAUGCAAUCAAGAAUUGCAACUGAGCGCCCCUCCCCGCCCCCCGCUCCGACACACGUCGGUCCUCCCCCUAAAUACACCUGUCCCCCUGUUUCAGCUAGUUCUCCGGCGUGAGCCACGGCUCGAGCCGGGCGCGGAAUCGUCUCUGUGCCCCGCCCGUCGGGCCCACCCCUCCACUUAGGAACGCCGGGGCCACUCGGAAGUCCGAUCCCUUAGCACUGAACCCAAGUCCCGCACCUUCCUGCAUACAGAUGCUCCCAGUUCAAAGGACCGCUGGGACCCGAGCCCAGAAGGUGCAGCACCGACGCCCCCCCUCCCCCCCGGGGGCCGGCGCUUGUCCCGCGGCUCUGCAGCUGGCCUAGGCAGCCGGGCGCGGAGCUGGAGGAGGGGGACCCGGGGUGGCGCCUGCUGGCCGAGAGCACACCCUCAGAAGGUGGAUUCCUGGGGAAAGUGACGAAGGAUUUCUUCCCAGCUGACCAAACAACGUGGAGUGCAUUGGCGGGACCCUUCACUCGGGGCUGGCAUCGGGGGCUGUCUCUUUGGAUUGGGGGCCACGCCGCUUCCUUGCUCUCAGAGUGCACAGGAGAGAAAAUGAUCAGGACGGAGCUGGUUUGAGUGAUAAAAAGAGCCGCGGGCUGAACAAAUGGAGGGUCUAGCCCUCAAAAUCAAAAAAGACGGAGUUAACCGCUUGGAGAGGUGGCAUUGUUGGUUGUAAGGGGAACGGGACUGGAAGGCCUCAGCGACCUUGUGGGCAACGGCCCCUGGAGGAUGAAAAGGCAGAGGAUGUCCCCGAUCGGCAGUGGCCCGGGGCAAGUUUGGGACCUGAGUGACCAUCUGGACUUUCGUUCAUUUCUCAGAGCCUUUGGUAUGUUGCUUGAGGUCCGUCCCAUGCGUACACGGUUAGAGACGGCA